rnacentral:rRNA from 1 species
AGAACGAACGCUGGCGGCAGGCUUAACACAUGCAAGUCGAACGCUCGUAGCAAUACGGGAGUGGCAGACGGGUGAGUAACGCGUGGGAACAUACCCUCCGGUUCGGAAUAGCUCAGGGAAACUUGGAUUAAUACCGGAUACGGCCGAGAGGCGAAAGAUUUAUCGCCGGAGGAUUGGCCCGCGUUCGAUUAGCUAGUUGGUGAGGUAACGGCUCACCAAGGCGAUGAUCGAUAGCUGGUCUGAGAGGAUGAUCAGCCACAUUGGGACUGAGACACGGCCCAAACUCCUACGGGAGGCAGCAGUGGGGAAUAUUGGACAAUGGGCGCAAGCCUGAUCCAGCCAUGCCGCGUGAGUGAUGAAGGCCUUAGGGUUGUAAAGCUCUUUCGCUCGGGACGAUAAUGACGGUACCGAGAUAAGAAGCCCCGGCUAACUUCGUGCCAGCAGCCGCGGUAAUACGAAGGGGGCUAGCGUUGUUCGGAAUUACUGGGCGUAAAGCGCGUGUAGGCGGGUCUUUAAGUCAGGGGUGAAAUGCCAAGGCUCAACCUUGGAACUGCCUUUGAUACUGGAGAUCUUGAGUCCGGGAGAGGUGAGUGGAAUUGCGAGUGUAGAGGUGAAAUUCGUAGAUAUUCGCAAGAACACCAGUGGCGAAGGCGGCUCACUGGCCCGGAACUGACGCUGAGACGCGAAAGCGUGGGGAGCAAACAGGAUUAGAUACCCUGGUAGUCCACGCUGUAAACGAUGGAUGCUAGCCGUUGGGGAGCUUGCUCUUCAGUGGCGCAGCUAACGCUUUAAGCAUCCCGCCUGGGGAGUACGGUCGCAAGAUUAAA